rnacentral:rRNA from 1 species
UGGGGAAUUUUGGACAAUUGGGCGAAAGCCUGAUCCAGCAAUGCCGCGUGUGUGAAGAAGGCCUUCGGGUUGUAAAGCACUUUUGUCCGGAAAGAAAUCCUUGGCUCUAAUACAGUCGGGGGAUGACGGUACCGGAAGAAUAAGCACCGGCUAACUACGUGCCAGCAGCCGCGGUAAUACGUAGGGUGCAAGCGUUAAUCGGAAUUACUGGGCGUAAAGCGUGCGCAGGCGGUUUGCUAAGACCGAUGUGAAAUCCCCGGGCUCAACCUGGGAACUGCAUUGGUGACUGGCAGGCUAGAGUAUGGCAGAGGGGGGUAGAAUUCCACGUGUAGCAGUGAAAUGCGUAGAGAUGUGGAGGAAUACCGAUGGCGAAGGCAGCCCCCUGGGCCAAUACUGACGCUCAUGCACGAAAGCGUGGGGAGCAAACAGGAUUAGAUACCCUGGUAGUCCACGCCCUAAAACGAUGUCAACUAGUUGUUGGGGAUUCAUUUCCUUAGUAACGUAGCUAACGCGUGAAGUUGACCGCCUGGGGAGUACGGUCGCAAGAUUAAAACUUAAAUGAAUUG